CAUGGUUAUAUGGGCAUCAAAGAAAAAGUUUCUAUCUCUGCCCAGAUACGGUGGCAGUGCAAGAAAGUUCUUACAAAGAAGGAGAUACAUUUUGAAGGACAAAGAAAGAAGGGCAUUUCAUACCAAAGUACCAUGACAUGCAGAGGCCUGUAAGUAUGAAAGUACAUUCUGCUUUCAAGAAGAAUUUGUAGUUCUGAAUGAUGAGUUUACUCCCAGGAUCUGACUAGGGAGAUGCUAGAAGAUGAACCAGGAAAGAAAUAUGAUCCUGGAAAGCUUUUGCAUACGCUAAGUACCCACUCAGUGCCUGGUGCAUAAUAGGUAUUAAAUUUUUCUGUGAAUCAAUGAGUGAUUAAGGAGUUUGACUUUUACCCUAAGGGUGAUUAUAUAUAUAUAUAUAUAUAUAUAUAUAUAUAUAUAUAUAUAUAUAUAUAUAUAAAGGAUUUGCACUUGGGAAAAGUCUCCAAGAAGUGAGUGUAAUGGUUGGAUUGGAGGGGUUGAGAUUAGAGAGACCAGACCAGAAGUCCCUGCAGUAGUCCAAAUUUGGACAAUUGAGGAGCUGAUGGUGCCCUCAUCUAGAUAGGAAAUCCAGGAGGAAAAGCAGGUUUGAUAUCCACCACAUGUUUAGCAGAAAGUUCUCAGGUACCUAUCUGAGGUACACCUUAUUUUAUUUAGAUAACUUAAAAAUCAGCAUAAAUCUCUGGUUUACCGAUCCACUUUAAACUAGAAACUGAAAGUUUUUGGUAGGUAGGGAGGUAGGUGUUCACAGAACAGUAAAAAGUGACAGCCAAUAGCUUAAUCCAAGAAAGAGACAAGAACAAAAUUAAAAAUUAACAAAAACAACUAGGACACUAUUUCUAGCAUGCUUAAUGACAUUUAACAUUUCUCUACAUGUUGGAAUAGAAUCCUGGGUUGGCCCACAUAGGUGUGGCUUUCUUGCAAAAGUCAAUGGUACACUCAGUUUCACUAACGGGUAAAGCAUAUGGCUCCUCACUGAAAGCUACAGAGCACUACUGCACUCAAGGAAAUCUCCAGAGAAGAUAACCUUGAACUCAUUACUGCUUAACAUAUAUCAACUAUUUGGUUGAAAUAAGUUCUUAAGAUUGUAUGACUUGCAAUCAAACCAUUCCUCUGAAAUUUACCUCUGAGUCAAGUGAAUCAAUUUGACUAUAAAAAAAGUUUGACUAUAAAAAAAAAGUUUUGUUUUUUGGUUUUUGGGGGGUUUUAUUCUGAACGGCAUGUACAGUCAGGAAGACUAUAUAAGAAACAGCUCUAAGAAAACAGUGUUUUAUCUUUAUAAUGAGUAUGUCAUUUAGAAGGUUUAUUUUUUUUUGAAGCACAAUACCAGUAUCCUUUCAUUCAUUCAAGAUAUAUUUAUUGAUUUAUAAUUUUCCAGACACUGUCCUAGGUUUUGGAGAUUAAACGAUGAAUAAUAAUACAUAGGCACUGCCAUUCUGGAGCUUUUGAAAUGAUGGCAAAGAAAGAUGAUUAAACAAAUAAUUAUAAUACAAUAUUGUAAGCACAAUGACAGCAAUAUGUCUCAAAUGAUAGCGUUACAGAGGAGGGGCACCUAACAAUGCCAUUCCAGGAAUGGAUGAGGAAUUUGUGAAGUGUUUCAAGUUAGCCAAGAGAAGAGUGGCAGGACAUUCCAGGUAGAAUUAGAGAACAUUUAAUAAGAAGACAUGGAAAUUUAAAAGUUUUUCUCAGUACCUGAUUCUCAUUCUUCCAUACAUUCUUCUGUACAUCUGAUUCUUCUGCACAACCUAGAAACUCAGAGCACAUAGAACAUCCUGUUUUCGUGGGCUGCUAGUCACUUGUGCCUUCCUCUGGCAAGUGGACAGUACCUCGUAACACACACUGUACUAAUAUCGUCUCCAGCCUCGUCUCAUCUCAUUGGUUUUAGUUAAUUCAUCUGUGUUCUGAUUUUCUCACUUUCUUAACAUUAAUUUUUAAAGUCUUUUAAAAUAUAUUGUGUAAAGAGCAGUAAGUCCUUUGGCAUAGACAGGACAUGUAUGUAUAGGUAUAUGUAUAUGUGUAUAUAUGUACAUAUAUGUAAAUAUACACAUAUGUAUAAAUAUAGAUAAAUGUGUAUAUAUGUAUAUGUGUAUAUAUACACACACAUUUACAUUUAUAUAUUCUUAAGGGGGGGGUCAUGGUAGUAGUGACAUUAGUGACAUUUAGAACAAAGGCAAAUAAUCCCAAAUUGGACUCAACUGCAUUCACAGUAAGAAGAAACACAUCACAUCACCUUUCAAUACUUGAAUGAGAUUGAGUUGACUGUAUAUCCACACAUAAAACAUAAACAGGAGUCCAGGGAACCCCCACGUAGUUGUUGGACAAGUCUUAUUCAAGCUUGAAUAAAUAAUUACUAAAAAAACUAUGAAUAUGCUUUUACUUAAAAUGCAUAGAAAAAACAACAAGAAGGGAUUCUUAAUUUCCAAUAUAACACUGAAAUAUUUUUUUUUCAACGUUUUAUUUAUUUUUGGGACAGAGAGAGAGAGACAGAGCAUGAACGGGGGAGGGGCAGAGAGAGAGGGAGACACAGAAUCGGAAACAGGAUCCAGGCUCUGAGCGUCAGCCCAGAGCCUGACGCGGGGCUCGAACUCACAGACCGCGAGAUCGUGACCUGGCUGAAGUCGGACGCUUAACUGACUGCGCCACCCAGGCGCCCCAACACUGAAAUAUUUUUAAGGGGAUAAAUUAGUGAAUAACUGACCAGUAUCUAUUUGCAUUUUGUCAUUGGCGAUUUGUAACUUUUCAAGGCAUUCAAUAUAUGCUUUAAUGUUUGUUAUUCAUGUGUACCAUUUCUACAUUGCCUCUUCUAUAUUUUGAACAUAACGUCUCUAACAACUUUUCUUUAUAAAUAUCAGACUUUGGAUAAAAUAUCACCUUGCAUAUAACCAAGCUUUUGGAUAACAUUUUAGUUUCGAUAACUUAAACACAGGGGUUUGCCUCAAUCUCUUUCAGUAAUUGAACAAGGGUUUGUUAUUACAUAAUGUCAUUCAUUCGAUAAAUUUUAAUUAUCAUCAACUAUGUGUCAAUACUAUUUUGGCUGCUACUUAGCAGUAAAUAAUGAGGAAGAGCUUACUCAGAACUUCUCUAAUGGGAUAUCACUGGGUUACCAGUUGAUAAAUGAAGGAGCCAGGACUGGAACAAAAGCUGAGUGACUUGAGGUCCACUUUCUAAACUUUGGUAUACUUAGCUUUCUUAAAAAUGAAAUUACUAUGAAGGAGAGCAUACUGACAGAUAGGGGGAGGUGAUAUCCUGAUGACGCAUUUCAGUACCUACAUCCAAGCAUGCCUAGGACUGUACCCUGGUAUCUCCUAGUACUCCACACCAUUAAUUUUCUUUUUUGCUUAAAAUAGUUUGUUUACUAUUAGUUUCCACUAAAUUAGAUUUAUAUAAAAGAUAAUAUUUUGGAUAAUUUUGCGCAAUUAGUCUAUAUGGGUAUGAAUAAAUUAAGGAGAAGAUUAUUUGUCAAUAGUAUUAGAUGAUGAUGAAAGCAAAGCACUUGUCAUAAACCUGCUAGAAUUUUCAGAAUUACAUUUUUUUAAUUAUACAUUUAAUGUUAUCUCCCUUUUAAUAGGGUGGUGCAUGCUCUUCAGCAAGUUAUUUAAUCUCCCAGUGUCUCAGUUUUCUCAUGUUUACAAUGAGUAAAAUAAUAGCAAUAGGGAUAAUUUCAGAUAGUGUUAAAUAAAAUAAUGCAUAUUUUAUAUAAAAAUUAAAAUGUACUUGGUAAAUUAAAAGAACUCAAGUAUAUACAAAUAUUAUGAUUAUCACUAUUAUUUCUCUCAAAGGGGCUUAUGGUACCCACAUAAAGAUAAAGAUUACCUAUGCUUUCAGGAGUAUUUUAUUUUAGAAGUUAUGUGGGAUAACAAAUGAUUGACUCAGAGUAUUUUAAUUCCUUGUUGGAAAGCUAAGUGGGUCUGCGUGAGGUGGUGUUGGGAGAUGAAAGUUGGGCCUAGGACACUGGGAAGACAAAGAAGACGGUACGAGGUCUGCAUACUAAUUUGGUGCAACUUCUACCAAAAUGCUUCUGCUUCUGCAGAGCAAAAGGGAGUGACAUGGAGGGACAAUGUGGAGGCUCAGUCAGUAUCCAGAGAAGAGAAAGGAAAUAGAAGGGAGAUUCCAAGUGUGGGGAGCAGAUGAGAGAAACAGCCAUGAACCUGCAAUUUAAAGAAAUUCAAACUCCACCUAAGGGGGAUUCUCCAGGAGAGGUUCCGUGAAUGCCGAUGCUGCCACAGAUGUCAGGGGGAAAAUUGGAUGGAGCCAUGGGUACUCAGCUCUCCAAGUUGGAAUUAGUUAAAAAGGCAGCAUCACGUGUCAAGGCAAGAUGUUACAGAGCUGUUGGCUGAAAAGGGAUUCAGAAGAUUACUGGAAUAGUUUCUUUAACAGAGACUAAACAAUUGCAUGUGACAUUUUUCUUUUAUCUUAAAGGAAUUUAAUCAGAGCAGUCACAAACUUACCAAUAAUCAUAUACUACAUAAGAUUUUACAUAUUAAUUUCUGCUUAUAAAACUUCAACUUUAUGACUUUAUAAUGUCUGAAAUGUAAACAUAUAUAUUUAACACCUAGAUUUCUAUGUACUUAUAAAUUUAUUUAUCAGAAUAUAUGUUAAACAAAUAUGUAUGUGUGUAUGGAAAAUGUUUUUAAAUGAUCACAAGAAGCAGGUUUCUGAAUUAGAACCAAAUUAUUUCCGGAAGCUAUUGAAAUACGAACAGUCCAGCUUCAGAUGAUCUUUAAAUAGCUAACCUCUCCUCCAAAAAAAAAAAAAAAAAAAAAUGAAAGCACCUUCCAUACUUUCAGAACUUCACAAUCCCAAUUGCUUUUUGUGGGUAGUUGUGAUGAC